GAGGAUGUAGCUCAAUGGUAGAGCGUCUGCUUAGCAAGCACGAGGUCCGGGGUUCAAUUCUCCAGUACCUCCA
rnacentral:tRNA from 1 species